CCCAAGGAGUAGGCGUCGGUACCUAGAGUUUGUAGACUUCGGUCUGCUACCUCUUACCCAUGUCUUUUGAGUACCUUCGUUUCCUCGGCGGGUCCGCCCGCCGAUUGGACAACAUUCAAACCCUUUGCAGUUGCAAUCAGCGUCUGAAAAAACAUAAUAGUUACAACUUUCAACAACGGAUCUCUUGGUUCUGGCAUCGAUGAAGAACGCAGCGAAAUGCGAUAAGUAGUGUGAAUUGCAGAAUUCAGUGAAUCAUCGAAUCUUUGAACGCACAUUGCGCCCCUUGGUAUUCCAUGGGGCAUGCCUGUUCGAGCGUCAUUUGUACCUUCAAGCUCUGCUUGGUGUUGGGUGUUUGUCUCGCCUCUGCGUGUAGACUCGCCUUAAAACAAUUGGCAGCCGGCGUAUUGAUUUCGGAGCGCAGUACAUCUCGCGCUUUGCACUCAUAACGACGACGUCCAAAAGUACAUUUUUACACUCUUGACCUCGGAUCAGGUAGGGAUACCCGCUGAACUUAAGCAUAUCAAUAAGCGGGAGGAA
rnacentral:rRNA from 1 species